GUCAAGCUUCCAAGAAAAGCCCUAUACCCGUUAAGGCAUGAUGGCCUGUACCCGAAACCGACACAGGUGGGGUGGUAGAGAAUACCGAGGGGCGCGAGAUAACUCUCUCUAAGGAACUCGGCAAAAUGGCCCCGUAACUUCGGGAGAAGGGGUGCCACCGCAAGGUGGUCGCAGUGAAGAGGCCCAGGCGACUGUUUACCAAAAACACAGGUCUCCGCUAAGUCGCAAGACGAUGUAUGGGGGCUGACGCAUGCCCAGUGCCGGAAGGUUAAGGAAGCUGGUCAGCGCAAGCGAAGCUAGCGACUGAAGCCCCGGUGAACGGCGGCCGUAACGAUAACGGUCCUAAGGUAGCGAAAUUCCUUGUCGGGUAAGUUCCGACCCGCACGAAAGGCGUAACGAUCUGGGCGCUGUCUCGGAGAGAGGCUCGGCGAAAUAGAAUUGUCUGUGAAGAUGCGGACUACGUGCACCCGGACAGAAAGACCCUAUGAAGCUUUACUGUAGCUUGGUAUUGUGCUCGGGCUCGGAAUGCCAGGAUAGGUGGGAGGCUAUGAACCAUUGCUUGUGGGUGAUGGUGAGCCACUGGUGAGAUACCACUCUUUCCGAGCUAGAGUUCUAACAGCCACCCGUUAUCCGGGGGCUGGACAGUAUCAGGUGGGCAGUUUGACUGGGGCGGUCGCCUCCUAAAAGGUAACGGAGGCGCGCAAAGGUUUGCUCAGGCUGGUUGGAAAUCAGCCGACGAGUGUAAAAGCAGAAGCAAGCUUGACUGUGAGACCUACAAGUCGAACAGGGAGGAAACUCGGCUUUAGUGAUCCGACGGUUCUGCGUGGAAGGGCCGUCGCUCAACGGAUAAAAGUUACUCUAGGAUAACAGGCUGAUCUCCCCCAAGAGUUCACAUCGACGGGGAGGUUUGGCACCUCGAUGUCGGCUCAUCGCAACCUGGGGCUGAAGUCGGUCCCAAGGGUUGGGCUGUUCGCCCAUUAAAGCGGUACGCGAGCUGGGUUCAGAACGUCGUGAGACAGUUCGGUCCAUAUCCGGUGCAUGCGCAGGAAUAUUGAGAGGAUUUCUCCCUAGUACGAGAGGACCGGGAGGAACGCACCUCUGGUGUACCAGUUAUCGUGCCAACGGUAAACGCUGGGUAGCCAUGUGCGGAGAGGAUAACCGCUGAAAGCAUCUAAGUGGGAAGCCCACCUCAAGAUGAGUAUUCCCAUGGGGUAACCCAGUAAGGUCACGGGAAGAACACCCGUUGAUAGGCUCUACGUGGAA
rnacentral:rRNA from 1 species